GCGGGUGUAGCUCAGCGGUAGAGCAUCAGCCUUCCAAGCUGAGGGUCGCGGGUUCGAAUCCCGUCACCCGCUCCA
rnacentral:tRNA from 1 species